rnacentral:rRNA from 1 species
GUGCACCAGGCGUGGGUGGAUUUACCCCCAUCCGUGUCUGAGCUAACGCCAUUAAGUGCCACCGCCCUGGGGAGUACGGUCGCCAAGAUUAAAACUCAAAGGAAUUGACGGGGACCCGCACAAGCGGUGGAGCCAUGUGGCUUAAUUCGAUGCAACGCGAAGAACCUUACCUGGACUUGACAUAUAGCUGCAUACGACCCGAAAGGGACGUACCCUUGAGGGUGCUAUCCAGGUGCUCCAGGCGUCGUCAGCUCGUCCCGUGAGGUAUGGGUUAAGUCCCCCAACGAGCCCAACCCCUGUGUUUAGUUCCCACCACGUAAUGUGGAACUCUAAACAGACUGCUGUGAAAACCAGAGAAGUGGGAUGACGUCAAGUCAGUAUGUCCUUAUGUCCAGGCUGCACACGUGCUACAAUGGCGAUACAAUAGGAAGCCAAGCCGCGAGGUGGAGCAAAUCCUCAAAAUCGCCCCCAGUUCGGAUUGGAGUCUGAAACUCGACUCCAUGAAGUUGGAAUCGCUAGUAAAGGUGUAUCAGCUACGACACCUUGAAUACGUUCCCGGGUCUUGCACUCACCGCCCGUCAAGGGCGAAUUCUGCAGAUAUCCAUCACAC